AGAGCGAACGCUGGCGGCAGGCUUAACACAUGCAAGUCGAACGAACCCUUCGGGGUUAGUGGCGGACGGGUGAGUAACACGUGGGAACGUGCCCUUAGGUUCGGAACAACACAGGGAAACUUGUGCUAAUACCGGAUAAGCCCUUACGGGGAAAGAUUUAUCGCCUUUGGAGCGGCCCGCGUCUGAUUAGCUUGUUGGUGAGGUAAAGGCUCACCAAGGCUACGAUCAGUAGCUGGU
rnacentral:rRNA from 1 species